UACCAGCACCCCGAGUGGUCGGGACGAUUAUUGGGCCUAAAGUAUCCGUAGCUUGUCCUGCAAGUCUUCCGUUAAAUCCACCUGCUCAACAGAUGGGCCGCGGGGGAUACUACAGGGCUAGGAGGCGGGAGAGGCAAACGGUACUCAGAGGGUAGGGGUAAAAUCCACUGAUCCACUGAAGACCACCAGUGGCGAAGGCGGCAUCCUGGACCGGCAUUGACGCUGAGGAGCGAAAGCCAGGGGAGCAAACGGG
rnacentral:rRNA from 1 species